GAUUCCAUCAUCUACAGUUCAUAAUAUAAUCAGAAGAUUCUGAGAAUCUGGAGAACUUUCUACACAUUACCGGCAAGGCCAACAACCAACACUGAAUGCCCGUGACCUUCGAUCCCUCAGCCGACACUGCAUUAAUAACCAACAUAAUUGUGUAAAGGAUCUUAGCACGUCAGCUCAGGAACACUUCAGAAAACCAUUGUCAGUUAACACAGUUCGUUGCUACAUCUACAAGUGCAAGUUAAAAGCUCUACUAUGGAAAG